rnacentral:lncRNA from 1 species
AUGAAUCAUCCAACUCUUCAUUCCAGGCAAGAAGGACCUGGAGUACUUCUGCGUGGUGACCCAUCUUUAAAGGAACUACCUAACCACGGCGUGAUUAAGGUCUCCUCCAGCUCUGAAAUCCAGCUUUAUGGAACAAGAGAGGAACAACUGAGUCCAGCUGGAGUGUGGAAGCCGAACCAAAUUCAGACCCCCUCCCCCAAGGAUCUGGUUAGGAAGCAGCCCUGUCAGGCCCCUGUCCUGCUGGCUCCGUGGUCACCACUUCCUCCUGUGUCACGGGACAGAAGAUGCCACUGCCACAGCCACUGCUGGAAAAGUGACUUCUAACUGCCCACAGCUUGUAUUGAGGUAGAAACUGCUUAGUAGUGUUAAGAUAGCAGAGCAAUGGAGAAAGACCACUGCCCUGGCAGAAAACAUUUCGUUGUAAAUUGCUUCUCCAACCUUCAAGGCUGGUGUAUAUUGAACAGAGCGGGGGUUUCCAGCAUCCUUCCUGGGACAACACCAAGAGGUUAACAGCUGAGGAUCAAAAGCAGUUACCUUAGGUAGCAAUGUCUGCACACCUUGGAAUUCCCUGCAGGAACAAAGGCCGCCCCUCUCCCCUAUAUUUGGGGUCUCACCAUGGGCUGGCUGAGCCCAGGGGAAGUGGCUCUUGGGCCGAAGUGGGAAGCAGGGGCAAACCUCCAUCGCCCAGACCCUCCAGCCGACUGCAGCAAAGCAAAGGAGGUGGAAGGGAAUCUACCAACUCUUCGUAGCAAUUAUCCCUAAGCAUGUGACCAAGGACAUUUGUGCUUCCCUUUCUCACAAUUUUUAAGCCUCUGUAAUAAACACAUCUGAACUCUGCAAUUUUUUACAUGUG